rnacentral:lncRNA from 1 species
CGAUCUGUUGUUAUACAUCAUAUGGUGUAAUUUUUCUCACCUACCCCCGUGUAAAUUAGCUGGUAGAAUAUUAUGGACGUAAUUGGUCUGACCUAUACCCCCAGUUUAAGGAGGCCUAGGGUGUCGAAUCAAUGCAGGCUCUACUCUCCUCGUAGAGAAGUAUGGACGCUCUUCAAAGCUAGUUGGGGCUUCUUUGUUUGAUCUUGUUCUUGAGAAUAAAAUGGAGAAAAUUCAAGUGUACUUCUUUUCCUAAAUGAAAAGAUAGUUAAAUACAAAGACCAGUAUUCUUUCUUUCAGAUCAUGAAUCAUACUAAUUUAAUUACAUCAAAUUGGUGAUUUAACACAAAAAUGAAAGACUCUUUCAGUGUCGUGGACAAGUGAAGACCCUUGGAUGGAUUGUGAAUACAAGAUUUCUUCAAAUGUACCUGCAGAACUGCAUAGGCUCCCAUUCCGUCGUUAUAACAUGUUUGCAUAAUAAAAUGUACUGAUAUAUAGGCAUCACAUGUAUGUUAUAUAUAUAUAGGGUUUAGGGUUUACAUAUGUUCUUUGUAUACAGAAUCAAACUUCUACAUAUAUAAAGGAAUGGAG